GACGUAGGGCGCGAGCGUUGUCCGGAUUUAUUGGGCGUAAAGAGCUCGUAGGCGGCUUGUUGCGUCGACCGUGAAAACCCGCGGCUUAACUGCGGGCUUGCGGUUGAUACGGGCGGGCUGGAGUUCGGUAGGGGAGACUGGAAUUCCUGGUGUAGCGGUGAAAUGCGCAGAUAUCAGGAGGAACACCGGUGGCGAAGGCAGCUCGCUGGGACGGCACUGACGCUGAGACGCGAAAGCCAGGGGAGCAAACGGG
rnacentral:rRNA from 1 species